rnacentral:rRNA from 1 species
CCUACGUGCGGCAGCAGUGGGGAAUAUUGGGCAAUGGGCGAAAGCCUGACCCAGCAACGCCGCGUGAAGGAAGAAGGCUUUCGGGUUGUAAACUUCUUUUGACAGGGAAGAGCAGAAGACGGUACCUGUCGAAUAAGCCACGGCUAACUACGUGCCAGCAGCCGCGGUAAUACGUAGGUGGCAAGCGUUGUCCGGAUUUACUGGGUGUAAAGGGCGUGUAGCCGGGCUGACAAGUCAGAUGUGAAAUCCGGGGGCUCAACCCCCGAACGGCAUUUGAAACUGUUGGUCUUGAGUAUCGGAGAGGCAGGGGGAAUUCCUAGGGUAGCGGUGAAAGGAGUAGAUAUUGGGAGGAACACCAGGGGCGAGGGCGGCCUGAUGGACGACAACGGACGGUGAGGCGCGAAAGCGUGGGGAGCAAACAGGAUGAGAUACCCUAGAAGUC